rnacentral:misc_RNA from 1 species
AAGUCGUAACAAGGUAACCGUAGGUGAACCUGCGGUUGGAUCAUUAACAAUUAUUAUUGAGCCUCCCUCCCUGGGCGGGUAGGUUCUCUAACACUUGUGUGCACUGUUUAUUGUCUCUCGGCGUUCGAGGGUUGGGUAGCAGAGCUUGCUCUGAUGCCCUUGGGCUUUACGGCCUUGAUCUACCCUUGAGCGCCAACCUAAAACUUGAUUUUGUAUUUAUACUCUAAGCCUUUAAUUUUAAAUUUAUAAUUUGAAAACAACUUUUAACAACGGAUCUCUAGGCUCUCA